GAACAUCCAGAAAUCAGACGUGACCGGAGGGGAGAGGGGCUUCCUGAGGGAUUUCGGAGAAGGCUGAACAGGCAGGAGGAGCUGGCAAAGCUUUCUAAGCGAGGAAGCGAUCGUUAUGCCAGGGAGCAGAGUGGAAACUGUGGAUCUGAGAGCAAGUUCCUCCUGUGUCUCUGGUGGCACCACGCCUGGCACAGCCGGUACGGCAUAAAUGCUUGUUGAAAGAGCAGGCUCACCAAUCUACACCCCUGUCUGGAGGUAAUGUGUGCAGACCCUCCACGAGAUGAAUCCAGGCAGACUUGCUGGUCGCCGAUGGCGGCUGCAGGCACCGUCCCCUCCAGCCCCUUAGGCAGGUCCAGGCCUCCCCAAGAUUUCUUCCCAUCACACCUCUCUGCCCCGCAGUCCAGCUCUGCCCUGCCCCCGCUCGGAUUCUGCCUGUUGCUUUAUCUCCACCUUGGUAUCCACCCUGGCACGGGUGUGGCCUCAGGCCCUCUAUUUGAAACCCAAGUAAUAAUCAUAACAACAACAAAAGACGCUUCUGUGUGCUCUGGCUGAAGGUUUGGGGAGUUGAAGCAAGUUUGCAAACGCUCACAACUUAAAACGGAGCAUUAGCCUUCUGGUUGUGCUUAAGCAUCCGUAAGCCAUUUCUGCCUUCACCCCACUUCUUGCUUCUUCCUCUCCCUCCAGGCUUCUCCCCUUCUCUCUCUUCCCAAAUGCCUGUUCUUUGAUUAUGCGGGAUAGUUUAAGGUGUUUGGGGUUUGGUUUGGUUUCUUGGUCUCCUUUCCUGCCAACGCUGACCGGUUCACCUUUCACCCUUUAGUGGUGUACUUUCGUAAACAAAGCCCUUUUGUUCCCUGAGAAGAAUGCUGGUCCCAUAAGGAAUUUUCCACCCACCGACCCCACCCCUGCUCCUUGGCUGUAAAUCCCCACCUGCCUGCGCUGUGUUCAGAGCUGAGACCAAUCUCUCUCCCACUGCAAGACCCCACUGCCCGGGUCCCUGCCCCCGUCGCCAUGGCCCCCCUUUGAAUAAAGUCCGCUUUCCCGUCUUCACCAACUGUCAUUGAAUAAUUCUUUCUUUAGAAGGAAAAAAGACUUAACCUAGAGCACUUUGACUUGGUAUUUAAUCACAUGUUCCAUGGGUGGCCACACCGUAUAAAGGGUAGAAAGCAGAGGUGAAACAUGCCCGUGGUGCUGGGAGCAGACGGGACAGGAAAAGCGCUCUUCCCCGUGACCUUGUAUGGGAAGAAGUAACACUCCAGGGCCGCUAAUUGGUUUUCAGAGAUGGAGCUGAUGGAGGGAAGAGGAGGGGCUCGCUGGGUCAGCUCUGGGGAUGAGGAAGAGUGGGGAAGGUGGAAAGAGAAGCCGUUUGGAGGAAGGAGAAAAUAUAAGUUUUACAGGUAUGAAGUAGGAGGAAACAGAAGCCGAGAGGCAGCCACCCGAGCUGUGAACAAGAAGUGCCCGGCAAUACCAAGGCCAGGGCUAGAGAAUGCUCUGGACCAGCAGGUGUGGGCCGUGCUCAGCAGAGAACGUCUCCAGGGGCAGCACCUGGUCCUCAGCCC